CCUACGGGUGGCAGCAGUGGGGAAUAUUGGGCAAUGGGCGCAAGCCUUACCCAGCAACGCCGCGUGAAGGAAGAAGGCUUUCGGGUUGUAAACUUCUUUUGACAGGGAAGAGCAGAAGACGGUACCUGUCGAAUAAGCCACGGCUAACUACGUGCCAGAAGCCGCGGUAAUACGUAGGUGGCAAGCGUUGUCCGGAUUUACUGGGUGUAAAGGGCGGGUAGCCGGGCUGACACGUCAGAUGUGAAAUCCGGGGGCUCAACCCCCGAACUGCAUUGGAAACUGUUGGUCUUGAGUAGCGGAGAGGUAUGCGGAAUGCGUGGUGUAGCGGUGAAAUGCAUAGAUCUCACGCAGAACCCCGAUUGCGAAGGCAGCAUACCGGUGCACAACUGACGCUCAGGCACGAAAGCGUGGGUAUCGAACAGGAUUAGAUACCCGGGUAGUC
rnacentral:rRNA from 1 species